UGUGACCGUGAGCCCGCGGUAACGGGGACGCAGCAAGGAGCGGGAGCCGGGAGUUAACGGUAACGGCUGUAAUGGCAUUGCGCCGGAACCACGCGGCACCGCCCCGCUCAGAAGGACGGGUCGCCGAAGCCGAAGCGCUGCUGGGCGGCGUGGAGCUCCUGCAGCAGGGUCGAGUCGUCCAAGCCGAGCUGCGGAUUCUCCACUGGAACUGCGGUGGGAAGGACCACAGCCAGGACUUGUAACUGCACCAAGCUGGAGGGCUGACACCACGGAUCCACUCUACCUGACUAAAGAAGGCACCUAGAGCUGGUGACAGCAGAGAAGAAAGGACCUUUUUGGCCAACUCUUAAGAAGAAUGUGUAAGCUGUGUGUGAUAACCUGCUAGGAAUUGCUGCGGCGUGGAAGGAUAACAGCUACCUGAAGGUCACCCAGGCAAUGGCCCAGAGUCUCAAUCUGAUGAACUGCUGGGUUUGUACAGCAAUGCCCAGGAAUGGGAAAAUGGAGCUUCCCUUAAUGGGAAUUCCCAUUCCUUAUUUAAAUUGGAGCUGGCCAUAUGACAAUUUCUAGGUUGAGCCUCUUUCUGGGAAUGACACAAUAUGGUGGAAGGUACCAAAAGGGAAAUGUUUGCUGCGACAGUCCGAAACUAAACUCCCCAGUGGAGAAACACUGUGCUGGGGGAUGACAACCCACCAUUGCCUUCCCCACAGAGCCCAAUCCCUGAGCACGUGUGUUAUAAGAACAGCACCUUUCCCAGUUACGAGUUACAAGCACCACCCUGGGAAGCUUUAGUCCUGGAAAAAGGGCAAGGGGAAGUGAGUAUGGGGGAAUUUCACAAUUUAAAUGCCACCAAACGUCCAGGGGAUGAGCGGUGCCCCCUCCCAGUGGUGACAGCGUUAAACCACAGUUCCUGGUUCCAUUCUGGAUGUACCCCUGCUGGGCUGUGGUGGCUGUGUGGAGAUAGACACACGAGGAAAUGGUCACCACAGAGUUGGAGGGGCGCUUUGUACGCUGGGGGCACUGACACCAUACAUCUCCAUACAUAACUGUACCAAAGCCCCGAUGGGAGUUCUGAGAACCCCAGGGAAAUUAGUGAAGAGGGCAUCAAACCCUGUGGUAGAAAAGCCUGCCGGGUUCAAUAGCUUUGUUAGAUGGUUCGUUCCAUCUCUUGGGGUAAGUGAACUGGAGAAGGCGAUCGUUAAUAUUUCAACCACCUUAGAAAUAAUAGAAAAUGCAGCCGCUGAUGCAAUGAGGUCAUCACAAAUAGAGCUUUUGAUGCUUAGUAAAGCAGUGCUGCAAAACAGAAUGGCUCUGGACCUCCGAACGGCUAAAGAGGGAGGGGUUUGUGUGAUAAUUAAUCAGAGCUGUUGUGCUUAUGUAGACAGGACUCAGAAAGUCGAGACGGACCCACAAGCCAUACGAGAGCACUCUAGGCUGCUUCAUUAGGUAUCGAUGCAUGACACCUCGUUUGGGUUUACAGAGUUAUGGGAACGGCUCCCCAGUUGGUUACCUAAUUUUGAGUGGCUAAAGCAACUCUUUGUGGCCUGUAUUAUUAUAACAAUCAUGCUCAUUUAAACGUGCAUUGUGAUGA